rnacentral:rRNA from 1 species
AUUGAACGUUGGCGGCAUGCCUUACACAUGCAAGUCGAACGGCAGCACGGGGCAACCUGGUGGCGAGUGGCGAACGGGUGAGUAAUGCAUCGGAACGUACCUUUCAGUGGGGGAUAACGUAGCGAAAGUUACGCUAAUACCGCAUAUUCUGUGAGCAGGAAAGCAGGGGAUCGCAAGACCUUGCGCUGAUUGAGCGGCCGAUGUCAGAUUAGCUAGUUGGUGAGGUAAAGGCUCACCAAGGCGACGAUCUGUAGCGGGUCUGAGAGGAUGAUCCGCCCAACUGGAACUGAGACACGGUCCAGACUCCGACGGGAGGCAGCAGUGGGGAAUUUUGGACAAUGGGGGCAACCCUGAUCCAGCCAUGCCGCGUGAGUGAAGAAGGCCUUCGGGUUGUAAAGCUCUGUCGGCCGGGAAGAAAUCGCACGGGCUAAUACCCUGUGUGGAUGACGGUACCGGAAUAAGAAGCACCGGCUAACUACGUGCCAGCAGCCGCAGUAACAC